rnacentral:rRNA from 1 species
AUUGAACGCUGGCGGAAUGCUUUACACAUGCAAGUCGAACGGCAGCACGGGGCAACCUGGUGGCGAGUAGCGAACGGGUGAGUAAUACAUCGGAACGUGCCCAAUCGUGGGGGGAUAACGUAGCGAAAGUUACGCUAAUACCGCAUACGAUCUACGGAUGAAAGCGGGGGAUCGCAAGACCUCGCGCGAAUGGAGCGGCCGAUGUCAGAUUAGGUAGUUGGUGGGGUAAAGGCUCACCAAGCCGACGAUCUGUAGCUGGUCUGAGAGGACGACCAGCCACACUGGGACUGAGACACGGCCCAGACUCCUACGGGAGGCAGCAGUGGGGAAUUUUGGACAAUGGGCGCAAGCCUGAUCCAGCCAUUCCGCGUGCAGGAUGAAGGCCUUCGGGUUGUAACUAGCUUUGUACGGUAACGAAACGGUAGAGGCUCUAAUACAG